rnacentral:rRNA from 1 species
GUGGGGAAUAUUGGACAAUGGGCGCAAGCCUGAUCCAGCCAUGCCGCGUGAGUGAUGACGGCCUUAGGGUUGUAAAGCUCUUUCGCCAGGGACGAUAAUGACGGUACCUGGAUAAGAAGCCCCGGCUAACUUCGUGCCAGCAGCCGCGGUAAUACGAAGGGGGCUAGCGUUGUUCGGAUUUACUGGGCGUAAAGCGCACGUAGGCGGAUCUUUAAGUCAGGGGUGAAAUCCCGAGGCUCAACCUCGGAACUGCCUUUGAUACUGGAGAUCUUGAGUUCGGGAGAGGUGAGUGGAACUGCGAGUGUAGAGGUGAAAUUCGUAGAUAUUCGCAAGAACACCAGUGGCGAAGGCGGCUCACUGGCCCGAUACUGACGCUGAGGUGCGAAAGCGUGGGGAGCAAACAGGAUUAGAUACCCCAGUAGUCC